rnacentral:guide_RNA from 1 species
AAACAAAACGUGGAUCUAUAUGCAGAGAAUUGGAUAGGUGUAUAAU